UCUCUCUCUCUCUCCUGUUGUUUGCAUGUAUGCGUGUAUGUAUAUGUAGAUUUCCGAUACUGAAAUCCGAAUUUGUUGAUUAGUUUAUCAAAUUUGUUCCUUUUGAUGCCGACACAAUAAGAUUGUUUAGUAUUUCUCUAUUCUGAAACUUAUGCCCUUGUGGCUUAUGCCGUAGUUUUUUUUAAUGGAGUUAACUUUAUAUUUUUUUAUAGUUUUAUCUCCUUUAUGAAACUAGAGAGAUUAACCUCAUCAAUAGAAAGGAAGAACAGAUACACUGAACAGAUACACAUUGGGGACCAUCAUUUAAGUAGUUGGAAAGAUGAAUAAAAGUGGAAUGAGUGCUCCCAAAGUUGUAUCAAAUAACUAAAUGGUUAGAACUAGAUAGAGCAACAGAGAAAGAUCAAUUUGCUGAAUUAGUUACGAUGAAAAGGCACGUUGUGUUUGUGUGUGUGGUGAUGUGGCUCCUUGUUGUUUCUGUGAUAUUUCUCUUUAGAAGUUGUGGGGGACGGAGUUCCUUCGGUGAACUUCUACCGACAUGAAUCCCUCAAAUGGUAAGACUUUUUUGUCUCGGCCUCAAAUCAUUUUGUCCUCUUAUAAAAUUCUGGUACACUACUUGUAAUGGAAUUUCACACAACAAGUUAGCCUCUAUAUUGUAAAAUUUACAGUUUCUUUAGUGAUUAGAUACACAUAUAGUACCCCAAUGCAACUGAUUCUGUUGGUUUGAACACUAUGAAUAUGGUAAGGAAAAUAUUUUGCUCUAUGAAUAUCUGACUAUUUGCUUUUCAUUUUUUGUCUUUCUAAAAACAAGUACUUAUUUGAAAAAUAAGAUGACAAUUCAAGCAGCAAAUCAACAACGAUUUCAAUCCCAUGGUUACUUGGCCGUAAUAUAGAGACACAUACAAGGCAUACGAAAAAUAUUUAGGGUGUCUAAAAAACAAAGUUUAGGGGUCAACUUUAUUUGCUGUCUGCAAAUUAUGCAAUUCAUUUCUUUACUAAGAAAGUAGCUCAUCUAACAUCUAAAUUGAGAUCAAUCACCUCAACCUGUCUUUUUCUCUCCUAGUAUAAAAAAAUGCUUCAAGUUUAUUGACUUUAAUUUUGUGGGAAGCUUCAGAGUCUCAGAGUUUGUACUUUGUAAUAACGAUUACUAAACCAACACUUGGUUCCACAGGCUCAGCUUGAUCAGCCUGUCCUCAUUGUUACACCUGCUCCAUUGAGCAUGACUUCCUUGUAAUGAAUCUUCUCCCUCGCACCACAUCCGGAUGCCUCUAGCGCGCACCGUGAAAUGACAGUUGGCAAUAACCAAGUAAGUCCAGAAGAGAUAAAUCUAGCACACCGGUCGCAGCCAGAACCAACUCCAUUUCCACGACCGAAUCAACAAGCUAAUUCUUAUCAUCAGUGCGAGCAAGCUGAGGCAAGUCGAGAUGCUUGCAAGACUACAAGAGUCACAAACAAGAAAAGAAGAACAUCGCAAAAUGGUUCAAAUUGAGUUUCUUUGGGGCAUCUUUGUGUCUGUUUUUGCUGCUUUCGCUUGUUUGCUCUUCUUUGGGGGGUAUAAGUUCUUCACUGGAGGCAAGAAAAACAAGGAAGAGGUUUAUCGAAGUUAAAGAUGGUGUAGAAUCAAGUGGCUACUUGACGUAAUGUGAUGUUUGUUUACUAUGGUGGUACCAAGACCUAAUGUUAUGUUCAUCUAUUAUGGUAGAUUUUUUGUUUUUUGGAAAAUAUUUGGUUGAACGUAGUAGAGAUAUUGAAAGACAACAAUGGGUUAUGGCAGGAAGCUCUAUUUUGACAUUAGUUGGGCUAUGAGACUUUUAAUACUUUGAGAGCUUAUAUGUUAGAUGAGUUUGAGAAGUUGUAUGCUUAAAUUAGUUAAUUGGAUGUGAAAAAUGGUGGAAUAGGGCUAAAUUUUCAAAAUUAAUCUAGUGAUAUAUUACCGGCGUUUUUGUAUGUUAUUUCAGGCGUUUAUUAACUGGCGGAAAGUUCCCGGUGUUUAAAAAAACCCCGGUAAAAAAAAUAAGCCUAGUACUUUACCCGGCGUUUUAACAAACCC